AACGAACGCUGGCGGCAGGUCUUAGGCAUGCAAGUCGAACGGGUGAAACAGGUGCUUGCACUUGUGGAUCUAGUGGCGCACGAGUGAGUAACGCGUGGGAAACUGCCCACUACUGGGGAAUAACGUUUGGAAACGAACGCUAAUACCGCAUACGCCGGAAACGGGAAAGAUUUAUCGGUGGUGGAUGUGCCCGCGUUGGAUUAGCUUGUUGGUGGGGUAACGGCCUACCAAGGCGAUGAUCCAUAGCUGGUCUGAGAGGACGAUCAGCCACGCUGGAACUGAGACACGGUCCAGACUCCUACGGGAGGCAGCAGCUAAGAAUAUUGGGCAAUGGAGGAAACUCUGACCCAGCCAUGCCGCGUGAAUGAAGAAGGUUUUCGGAUUGUAAACUGCUUUAGACAGGGAAGAAACAAGACAGUACCUGUAGAAUAAGCUCCGGCUAACUACGUG
rnacentral:rRNA from 1 species